UUUUUAGGUAUGUCGUCACGCGCUCACCUAAAGCCAAAGCCAAAAGUUAGUUAAAAGCUUGAGCUUUGGCGAUUUUCGUGAUCGUGGAGCAAAAAAUAAAAAUAAAAAUGGGAAGGAAGUUCUUCGUCGGCGGAAACUGGAAAUGCAAUGGCACCAUUGAAGAAGUGAACAAGAUUGUGAGUACAUUGAAUGGAGGAGAGGUGCCUUCUCAGGAUGUUGUUGAGGUUGUGGUUAGCCCUCCGUUUGUGUUCCUGCCUUUGGUAAAAAGUUCACUGAGGCCUGAUUUUCAUGUUGCUGCACAAAAUUGUUGGGUCAAUAAAGGAGGUGCUUUCACCGGUGAGGUUAGUGCAGAGAUGCUUGACAAUUUGAGCAUUCCAUGGGUCAUUAUUGGUCACUCUGAGAGGAGACUUAUUUUGAAGGAGUCAAAUGAGUUUGUUGGGGAUAAGGUUGCUUAUGCACUUUCUCAAGGCUUGAAGGUGAUUGCUUGUAUUGGGGAGACACUUGAGCAACGUGAAGCAGGAUCUACCAUGGAGGUUGUUGCUGCACAAACUAAAGCAAUUGCAGCAAAAGUAUCAAACUGGACGGAUGUUGUUUUGGCCUAUGAGCCUGUGUGGGCUAUUGGAACUGGGAAGGUUGCUACUCCAGCUCAAGCACAGGAAGUACAUUCUGAGUUGAGGAAAUGGCUUCAAGCAAACGUCAGUCCUGAUGUUGCUGCAUCAACCCGGAUUAUUUAUGGAGGAUCCCUAUUUCAGGGUCUGUCACUGCUGCAAACUGCAAGGAACUAGCAGCUCAGCCUGAUGUUGAUGGUUUCUUGGUUGGUGGAGCAUCACUGAAGCCGGAGUUCAUUGAUAUUAUCAAAUCUGCUGAGAUAAAGAAGAAUGCCUAAGUUUUAGCUCGAAGCUGAAGUUAGCGUACUUGCAAGAGCUCUUGUUGGGGAGGUAUAGAAUCUAUUGCAUAAUAAGAGUUUAUAAAAUGUACUACUUUUUUUGCGAAAGAAUUCAUGCUUUUAUUCCUACCAGCACUUCAAACUGGAUUUUAUGUAUUAUUAAAAUUAGUUUUUACUAUUUCCUUGGUACUGCAUUUUUCAUGGAGUGCGUGUAUUUGCUCCUUUAUAUUCAUUUUUCAUCAGUGAAAAUCCAUGGUUGGGUUUAAAGUGGUGCAAUCAAAAUGGAAUAAUUGGAUGUUCUUCAACUUUUUGACAAUUUUAAGAAAUGUCACAUGAUAAGUUUAAAAUCGGUUUUUUUCAUAACAAAAAAUGUCUUUAAUUGCAUAAAUUGGUUUAUACGAUUAAAAAUCUUUAUAAUUGAUGGUCCUGAGGCAAGGAGACUUGAUUUUCAAUUUUCCUCAAGGCCGUAUAGAGCAAAUUGAAGCGUCGAUGGAUCAAGUUUCUCACCAGCAAAUGCUAACUAACGAACUUUCCACCCAAAACACUCUGUCGCGUCGACAACGUUUAGUUGAAAGCUGAAUCUGACUACGGAGGGGUAGUUGCUCAAUUGACAAGACAAAGAAGAACCAAAGCCCAGCCC